rnacentral:rRNA from 1 species
UACGUAGGGGGCAAGCGUUGUCCGGAUUUAUUGGGCGUAAAGAGCGUGUAGGCGGCUAUGCAGGUCCGCUGUGAAAACUCGAGGCUCAACCUCGAGACGUCGGUGGAAACCGUAUGGCUAGAGUCCGGAAGAGGAGAGUGGAAUUCCCGGUGUAGCGGUGAAAUGCGCAGAUAUCGGGAAGAACACCCGUGGCGAAGGCGGCUCUCUGGGACGGUACUGACGCUGAGACGCGAAAGCGUGGGGAGCGAACAGG